CUUCCGCCACUUCCUUCCGCCACUUCCUUCCUUCCUUCUUCCAUUGUGAAGCUAAACCUAAGUGCUGAAAAAAUUUAUGAUUUGAAUAAUGCAAAUUAAGAAGUUCUAGCAUAUAAUUGUUCUUUUCCUUCAACUAUGAAGCAAAUAUUGUCAAAUGCACUGUGAUCUUAACUUCAGUAUUCCUUAUAAUGUCACAAUUUUUUUUAAUUCCAUAAAAGCAAGUGGAGUUAACCAGAACCACAUUGGCAUAAAUAAGAGGAGAAUCAGAUUUUGAAAGGUAAACAAGACUGGAGGAGAGUGAGCAUGGGAAACUGGUAAGGGCAGCCCAAAAAAAAAAAAAUUGAAGUUAAAAACAAAGGAGAAAAGAUGGAAUAGGAAUUAAACAGUAUUUCUUCAACGGCAGGUAAUUAUGGAGCAGCCCUGGAUGUUUGUACAGACUGGGGAAUGAGAAGCCAGAGAGCAGUGCCAUGGAAGGGGACCUGGGAGUCGAUGGCAAGUUGAACAUGAGUCAGCAGUGCCCUGGCAGCCAGGAGGGCCAACCCUGUCCUGGGGAACAUCAAGCACAGC